UCGACACGGCAUUAGGGUUUGCCGGAAUACUUGCUGAACGGUCAACUUCGUCUCGGCAUAGGUUAUAGUUCAACGAAAUCUGGAGCUUUUGUUGUUGUCUACCGAAAUCGUCGGCUUCCCUGCUUCGCUUAUUGGUCUGAACCAUAGGGGAGAUGUGUUCGCUUCCGAAGUAGUUAACAGCAUCGACAUUACAACCAGCCGGCACUGCCAAUUGCAAAAUGCACGAAAACUAAU
rnacentral:lncRNA from 1 species